GAUGAACGCUAGCGGGAGGCCUAAUACAUGCAAGUCGAGGGAGAAGGUUGGUGCUUGCACCGACUGGAAACCGGCGAACGGGUGAGUAACGCGUACAUACCUGCCUUUAAGUGGAGAAUAGCCCCGGGAAACUGGGAUUAAUGCUCCAUGUGAUUACAGACUUUAUUUGUAAUUAAAGCUCAGGCGCUUAAAGAUGGAUGUGCGUCCCAUUAGCUAGUUGGUAAGGUAACGGCUUACCAAGGCGACGAUGGGUAGGGGGCGUGAGAGCGUGAUCCCCCACACGGGUACUGAGACACGGACCCG
rnacentral:rRNA from 1 species